GACGAACGCUGGCGGCGUGCUUAACACAUGCAAGUCGAACGGACUACUUUGCUUCGGUAAGGUGGUUAGUGGCGAACGGGUGAGUAACGCGUAGACAACCUACCUCUUAGUUGGGGACAACAUCGCGAAAGCGGUGCUAAUACCGAAUGAAGUGACUUUCCUGCAUGGGAGAGAUACUAAAGGUGGCUUCUAUUUAUAAGAUACCACUGAGCGAUGGGUCUGCGUCUGAUUAGCUAGUUGGCGGGGUAACGGCCCACCAAGGCGACGAUCAGUAGCCGGUCUGAGAGGAUGAACGGCCACAUUGGGACUGAGACACGGCCCAAACUCCUACGGGAGGCAGCAGUGGGGAAUCUUCCGCAAUGGACGAAAGUCUGACGGAGCAACGCCGCGUGAGUGAAGAAGGUUUUCGGAUCGUAAAGCUCUGUUGUUUGAGACGAAUGUGCCUGUUUCGAAUAGGGAUAGGUAAUGACGGUAUUAAACGAGAAAGCCACGGCUAACUACGUGCCAGCAGCCGCAGUAA
rnacentral:rRNA from 1 species